AGUUAAAAUGGUUUCAGCUACAACUAACAGAAAAAAAAGGAACUCGAACAGAGUAAACAGUAAGGAAUUUAUUAUCUUACAAAACGGAAUUAGCUCAAUGGUUUGAUGAUGGUAUCAGGACCCAGAUUCCUUCCAUAUUUUUGCUCUGACAUCCACAGGGUGUGGGCCUAACUACCCCACUGGUCUCAAAAAGACUAGGUGCCACAUUCUCAUCAAAUAUGAACCAGAGACAGGAGAGGGGUAUUGUUUCCUUUUGUCUCUUUUUAAGACUGAGGAAAAAGCUUCCCUAAAACUCCUUCACA
rnacentral:lncRNA from 1 species